rnacentral:piRNA from 1 species
UGAAAUUCCGAUCCUCUUCAUAGAGAUGAC